rnacentral:tRNA from 1 species
GAUGAGGUGGCCGAGAGGUUAAGGCGAUGGACUGCUAAUCCAUUGUGCUCUGCACGUGGGUUCGAGUCCCACCUCAACG